rnacentral:lncRNA from 1 species
UGGUAGAAAAAUUACUAGAAGAAAACAGAGCAGACUCCACAAUAGAAAAUCAAUGGAACACCAUAAGCAGUAUCAUACUAAACACAGCGAAAGAAGUCCUAGGAACAAAGACACAACGGAGAGAAGAAACAUGGUUCGAUGAAGAAUGCAAACAAGCUAUACAGGAAAGAAAUGAAACACAUAAGAAUUACAUACUCAGACGUACUAGAGAGAGAAAAACAGAAUUUGAGAACAAAAGACGAAGAGCAGAUAAACUGUGCAGGCAGAAAAA